ensembl:misc_RNA Metazoa_SRP Metazoan signal recognition particle RNA
ACCAGGCGCGGUGGCGCGUGCCUGUAGUCCCAGCUACUCGGGAGGCUGAGGCAGGAGGAUCACUUGAGCCCAGGAGUUCUGGGCUGUAGUGCGCUAUGCCGAUCGGGUGUCCGCACUAAGUUCGGCAUCAAUAUGGUGACCUCCCAGGAGCGGGGGACCACCAGGUUGCCUAAGGAGGGGUGAACCGACCCAGGUCGGAAACGGAGCAGGUCAAAAAACUCGCGUGCUGAUCAGCAGUGGGAUCGCGCCUGUGAAUAGCCACUGCACUCCAGCCUGGGCAACAUAGCGAGACCCCGUCUCUU